GAUGAACGCUGGCGGCGUGCCUAAUACAUGCAAGUCGAGCGAACGGACGAGAAGCUUGCUUCUCUGAUGUUAGCGGCGGACGGGUGAGUAACACGUGGAUAACCUACCUAUAAGACUGGGAUAACUUCGGGAAACCGGAGCUAAUACCGGAUAAUAUUUUGAACCGCAUGGUUCAAAAGUGAAAGACGGUCUUGCUGUCACUUAUAGAUGGAUCCGCGCUGCAUUAGCUAGUUGGUAAGGUAACGGCUUACCAAGGCAACGAUGCAUAGCCGACCUGAGAGGGUGAUCAGCCAAACUGGAACUGAGACACGGUCCAGAAUCCUACGGGAGGCAGCAGUAGGGAAUCUUCCGAAAUGGGCGAAAGCCUGACGGAGCAACGCCGCGUGAGUGAUGAAGGUCUUCGGAUCGUAAAACUCUGUUAUUAGGGAAGAACAUAUGUGUAAGUAACUGUGCACAUCUUGACGGUACCUAAUCAGAAAGCCACGGCUAACUACGUG
rnacentral:rRNA from 1 species